CAGCCGCCGCGGUAAAACGUAGGUGGCAAGCGUUGUCCGGAAUUAUUGGGCGUAAAGGGCUCGCAGGCGGUUUCUUAAGUCUGAUGUGAAAGCCCCCGGCUCAACCGGGGAGGGUCAUUGGAAACUGGGAAACUUGAGUGCUGAAGAGGAGAGUGGAAUUCCACGUGUAGCGGUGAAAUGCGUAGAGAUGUGGAGGAACACCAGUGGCGAAGGCGACUCUCUGGUCUGUAACUGACGCUGAGGAGCGAAAGCGUGGGGAGCGAACAGGAUUAGAUACCCCAGUAGUCCCUGUCUCUUAUAC
rnacentral:rRNA from 1 species